GACGAACGCUGGCGGCGUGCUUAACACAUGCAAGUCGAACGAUGAAGCCGGAGCUUGCUCUGGUGAAUUAGUGGCGAACGGGUGAGUAACACGUGAGUAACCUGCCCUUGACUCUGGGAUAACUGCUAGAAAUGGUAGCUAAUACCGGAUACGACCCUCGGAGGCAUCUCCAGGGGGUGGAAAGAAUUUCGGUCAAGGAUGGACUCGCGGCCUAUCAGCUAGUUGGUGAGGUAAUGGAUCACCAAGGCGACGACGGGUAGCCGGCCUGAGAGGGUGACGGGCCACACUGGGACUGAGACACGGCCCAGACUCCUACGGGAGGCAGCAGUGGGGAAGAUUGCACAAUGGGCGCAAGCCUGAUGCAGCAACGCCGCGUGAGGGAUGACGGCCUUCGGGUUGUAAACCUCUUUUAGUAGGGAAGAAGCGAAAGUGACGGUACCUGCAGAAAAAGCACCGGCUAACUACGUGCCAGCCGCCGCCGUAA
rnacentral:rRNA from 1 species